AGUUUGAUCAUGGCUCAGGACGAACGCUGGCGGCAUGCCUAACACAUGCAAGUCGAACGGAGUUAUUAUUCAGAAGUUCUUCGGGAUGGAAGGAUAAGAACUUAGUGGCGGACGGGUGAGUAACGCGUGGGUAACCUGCCCUUUUGUGGGGAACAACUUCGAGAAAUCGGAGCUAAUACCGCAUAAUAAUAGAGGAUCGCAUGAUUCUUUAAGGAAAGAUGGCCUCUGAAGAUGCUAUCGCAAAAGGAUGGACCCGCGUCUGAUUAGCUAGUUGGAAGGGUAACGGCCUACCAAGGCAACGAUCAGUAGCCGGCCUGAGAGGGUGAACGGCCACAUUGGGACUGAGACACGGCCCAAACUCCUACGGGAGGCAGCAGUGGGGAAUCUUCCGCAAUGGGCGAAAGCCUGACGGAGCAAUGCCGCGUGAGUGAAGAAGGCCUUCGGGUUGUAAAACUCUGUCCUUAUCGAAGAGAGGUAGGUAUGUGAAUAAUGUACCUAUAGGACGGUAGAUAAGGAGGAAGCCCCGGCUAACUACGUGCCAGCAGCCGCGGUAAUACGUAGGGGGCGAGCGUUGUCCGGAAUCACUGGGCGUAAAGGGCGCGUAGGCGGUUUAAUAAGUCAGUGGUGAAAACUGAGGGCUCAACCCUCAGCCUGCCACUGAUACUGUUAGACUUGAGUAUGGAAGAGGAGAAUGGAAUUCCUAGUGUAGCGGUGAAAUGCGUAGAUAUUAGGAGGAACACCAGUGGCGAAGGCGAUUCUCUGGGCCAAGACUGACGCUGAGGCGCGAAAGCGUGGGGAGCAAACAGGAUUAGAUACCCUGGUAGUCCACGCCGUAAACGAUGGAUACUAGGUGUUAGUAGUUUCGAUGCUACUAGUGCCGGAGUAAACACAAUAAGUAUCCCGCCUGGGGAGUACGGUCGCAAGACUGAAACUCAAAGGAAUUGACGGGGGCCCGCACAAGCGGUGGAGCAUGUGGUUUAAUUCGACGCAACGCGAAGAACCUUACCAAGACUUGACAUCCUCCUGACAAGAUAUGUAAUGUAUCUCUUUUCUUCGGAGACAGGAGAGACAGGUGGUGCAUGGUUGUCGUCAGCUCGUGUCGUGAGAUGUUGGGUUAAGUCCCGCAACGAGCGCAACCCUUAUUUCUAGUUGCCAGCAGUAAGAUGGGGACUCUAGAGAGACUGCCAGUGACAAACUGGAGGAAGGUGGGGAUGACGUCAAAUCAUCAUGCCCCUUAUGUCUUGGGCUACACACGUGCUACAAUGGUCAGAACAGAGGGAAGCGAAGCCGCGAGGUGGAGCAAAUCCCAGAAAACUGAUCUCAGUUCGGAUUGCAGGCUGCAACCCGCCUGCAUGAAGUCGGAAUCGCUAGUAAUCGCGGGUCAGCAUACCGCGGUGAAUACGUUCCCGGGCCUUGUACACACCGCCCGUCACACCACGAAAGUUAGUAACACCCGAAGCCGGUGGCCUAACCCGCAAGGGAGGGAGCUGUCGAAGGUGGGACUNAUGAUUGGGGUGAAGUCGUAACAAGGUA
rnacentral:rRNA from 1 species